GACGAACGCUGGCGGCGUGCUUAACACAUGCAAGUCGAACGAUGAAGAAGAGCUUGCUCUUCGGAUUAGUGGCGAACGGGUGAGUAACACGUGACUAACCUGCCCCUUUCUCUGGGAUAACGCUCCGAAAGGAGUGCUAAUACCGGAUACUCACAUCGAGGCACAUGCCUUGAUGUGGAAAGUUUUUCGGAAAGGGAUGGAGUCGCGGCCUAUCAGCUUGUUGGUGAGGUAACGGCUCACCAAGGCGACGACGGGUAGCCGGCCUGAGAGGGCGACCGGCCACACUGGGACUGAGACACGGCCCAGACUCCUGCGGGAGGCAGCAGUGGGGAAUAUUGCACAAUGGGCGGAAGCCUGAUGCAGCGACGCCGCGUGAGGGAUGAAGGUCUUCGGAUUGUAAACCUCUUUCAGUAGGGACGAAGCGAAAGUGACGGUACCUAAAGAAGAAGCACCGGCUAACUACGUGCCAGCCGCCGCGGUAA
rnacentral:rRNA from 1 species